UACGUAGGUGGCAAGCGUUGUCCGGAAUUAUUGGGCGUAAAGCGCGCGCAGGCGGUUUCUUAAGUCUGAUGUGAAAGCCCACGGCUCAACCGUGGAGGGUCAUUGGAAACUGGGGAACUUGAGUGCAGAAGAGAAAAGCGGAAUUCCACGUGUAACGGUGAAAUGCGUAGAGAUGUGGAGGAACACCAGUGGCUAAGGCGGCUUUUUGGUCUGUAACUGACGCUGAGGCGCGAAAGCGUGGGGAGCAAGCAGG
rnacentral:rRNA from 1 species